rnacentral:rRNA from 1 species
CCAAACGACUCUCGGCAACGGAUAUCUCGGCUCUCGCAUCGAUGAAGAACGUAGCGAAAUGCGAUACCUGGUGUGAAUUGCAGAAUCCCGCGAACCAUCGAGUCUUUGAACGCAAGUUGCGCCCGAGGCCACUCGGCCGAGGGCAUGCCUGCCUGGGCGUCACG